UACAGAGGUCUCAAGCGUUGUUCGGAUUCAUUGGGCGUAAAGGGCGCGUAGGCGGCGUGACAAGUCACUUGUGAAAUCUCCGGGCUUAACUCGGAACGGUCAAGUGAUACUGUCGUGCUAGAGUACAGAAGGGGCAACUGGAAUUCUCGGUGUAGCGGUGAAAUGCGUAGAUAUCGAGAGGAACACCUGCGGCGAAGGCGGGUUGCUGGGCUGAUACUGACGCUGAGGCGCGAAAGCCAGGGGAGCGAACGGG
rnacentral:rRNA from 1 species